AUGCAGGUUUUAUGCAGGUUUUAUGCAGCAGUAGUAGGGCUGUUUUGCAGGGCAGAAAUGCAGGUUUUGGACUGGUCACGAUUUUGGCAGCAAGGUGCAGCAGCAAUUUUAAUAGUAUUAGCAGACUUAUUUUUGGAGGUAUUGGGAAAUUGGACAGGGACUGGUUUUGCAAGGGCUGCAUAUGCUUGCAUUAGUUUAUGGUUAAGUGUAGGUUAUGGUAAUGGCAAUAGGACAGUAGCAUGGUGGACAAGUUAUGGUUAA